rnacentral:lncRNA from 11 species
GCCAGUGGCAGAUAGAUGGAGAGUGUUUGUGUGAACUUGAUUUUUUAAAAUACAAUAUUUAAAAUGAAGAACAAUUUUAACCAACAUAAACUUAACACUAUUUCAGUGGAAGACCUCUGGGGCCAUCUAGUCUGACCUCCUUCUGCCAUGCAGGAAAAACACAAUCAAAGCACCCCCAACAGAUGACAAUCCAGCCUUUGGAAGAAGAAGAAGAAGAGAAACCUCAGAGGAGACCUCUGAGGAUGCCUGCCAUAGAUGUGGGUGAAAUGUCAGGAGAGAAUGCUUCUGAAACAUGGUCAUACAGCCUGGAAAACACACAACAGCCCAGUGAUUCCAGCCAUGAAAACCUUCGACAACACAUUGUUCAGAAAGUUCAGCUGGUCCAAAAUGCUGCAGCUAGACUGCUGACCAGACUGCUGGUUAAAUGGAGGUAAUUGAAAUAGUUUCACUGACUAAUGGCUGUUUUUGGAAACAAUCCAAAAUGGUAUUUAUGGCCUACAUCCUAUAUAACUUAAGUCCAGAUGAUAUGAAAAUGACCAAAUCUUAU